rnacentral:lncRNA from 1 species
GGAACCUCAAAUCCAUCGACUAGACCCUCCCCACUCACAUAAGGAUACUAUUCUUGUGUUCGUAAUUCAUGAUAACCCAAGAAUUUAUGAUAAUAGAGCUUUCUCUAUAGUUAGUAAUGGUAAGUUCUCCAUUGGAGCAAUAUACCAAAAAUUGCUUCGUAACUAUCUUAAUGCCCCUACAUACACUCGCAAUUUUGAAUGGAUUUGGAAGCUAAAAUGUCCUACCAAAUUAAAAUUCUUCAUAUGGCUUUGUUCUCAUGGAAUACUUCCUACUAGUUGGUGUAUAAACCAUAUCGGCCUUGAAAUUGACCCACUUUGUAAACACUGCCAGCAUACCGAAACUAUUAAGCAUAUUUUCCUCAAGUGUUCUAGUGCAAUACAGUUCUGGAACAGUAUCAAUAUGAACACCCCGAUAGCCAACCUUAGACAGCUAACUUCGGAAGAUUGGCUUGAUCGAUUCAGGACUAUGAAAGACAUUAGGCUUGGAAAAUACCUGGAAUAGCAUAAAGCCUUCCCGUUUUACCUUUGGAAUAUUUGGUUAGCUCAGAACAACAACCUCUUUAAUAACAAAAAAAUGCCUAUUCCUAUCGAAAUUCCUUAUAACAGUGCUAUGGAAUUCAUGCUUCUAAGCGGCACUAUAAAAAAACAAUGUCAUGAAAACAUUCCUUGUUGGACACCACCUACUGUUGGUUUAAAAUUAAAUAUAGAUGGUGCUUUUGAUAGUGUAACUAGAAAGGUGGCGUGGGGGGAGUAUUUAGAGAUAAUUGGUUGUAGGUUUCAGUGCUAGAGUAAGUGAUCAAAAUCCCCUCAAAGCUGAAUUUAUGGCUCUGUACUUGGGGCUCAAAAUGGCUGUACUCAUGCAUUAUGAUUCAUUGAUAAUUGCAACAGACUCUUAAAACCUGGUAUCUGCAUGCAAAAAUAAUUUGGAACCUAACAACAAUAUCAUUCUUCUAUGCAGGGAUCUUCUUCGGGAGUUAGGGAAUACGCAGAUGCACCAUGAUAAUAGGCUUCUUAACAGGGUUGCGCACAAGCUAGCGAAGAAUGGUAGAAUAAAUAAAACUCCA